rnacentral:rRNA from 1 species
CGUAUCAUCCUACGGGAGGCAGCAUGGGGGAAUAUUGCACAAUGGGGGAAACCCUGAUGCAGCCAUGCCGCGUGUGUGAAGAAGGCCUUCGGGUUGUAAAGUACUUUCAGCAGUGAGGAAGGUUCAUGCGUUAAUAGCGUAUGGAUUUGACGUUAGCUGCAGAAGAAGCACCGGCUAACUCCGUGCCAGCAGCCGCGGUAAUACGGAGGGUGCGAGCGUUAAUCGGAAUUACUGGGCGUAAAGCGCAUGCAGGUGGUUUGUUAAGUCAGAUGUGAAAGCCCGGGGCUCAACCUCGGAAUUGCAUUUGAAACUGGCAGACUAGAGUACUGUAGAGGGGGUAGAAUUUCAGGUGUAGCGGUGAAAUGCGUAGAGAUCUGAAGGAAUACCAGUGGCGAAGGCGGCCCCCCUGGACAAAGACUGACGCUCAGAUGCGAAAGCGUGGGGAGCAAACAGGAUUAGAUACCCUGGUAG